CUACGGGAUGCUCCAGUGAGGAAUUUUGCGCAAUGGGGGAAACCCUGACGCAGCAACGCCGCGUGAGUGAUGAAGGCUUUCGGGUCGUAAAGCUCUGUCAAGUGGGAGGAAUCUGUUUUAUGCUAAUAUCAUAAAGCACUGACGGUACCACUGAAGGAAGCACCGGCUAACUCCGUGCCAGCAGCCGCGGUAAUACGGAGGGUGCAAGCGUUACUCGGAAUCACUGGGCGUAAAGGGCGCGCAGGCGGUCCGAUUAGUCAGAUGUGAAAGCCCGGGGCUUAACCCCGGAAGUGCAUUUGAAACUGUCGGACUUGAGUAUGGGAGAGGGAAGUGGAAUUCCUGGUGUAGAGGUGAAAUUCGUAGAUAUCAGGAGGAACACCGGUGGCGAAGGCGACUUCCUGGACCAAUACUGACGCUGAGGCGCGAAGGCGUGGGUAGCAAACAGGAUUAGAUACCCUCGUAGUC
rnacentral:rRNA from 1 species